GCUUGAACCCACGAACUGUGAGAUCAGGACCUGAGCCAAAAUCAAGAGUCAGGUGCUCAACCGACUAAGCCACCGAGGAACCCCUAGACUUUUUUCUAAUAGAAGGACUUAAAGUUACACAUUUUUCUUUAAGCACCACUGAACUUCAUCUCAAAAUUUUUAAUAUGCUUUGUCUUCGUUAUUCGGUUGUAAAUACUUUUAAAUUCCUUGUCAAUUCUUCUGUGACCCUUGGGUUGAUUAUCUACAAGUAUUUUGCCUAAUUAACAGGUGUUUGUUUUCUUUCCCCUACAUAUCUGAUUGAUUUGUGCUUUAAUUCCAUCAAGGUUGGAGACUAGGUUUAUGGUUUCAAUCUUUGUAGUUUUAUGGAGACUCAGAAUAUGACUGACUUGCUGAGUGUUCACAUACACUUGAAAAAAAAUGCGUUCUGAAGUGUUGGGUGAAUUUGUUCUGUAAUAUCAAUUAGGUAAUGGAUACUAUUUUUCACAUUUCUGUGUACAGAUGGUCCUGUGUCUAUCAUGUGUUGAGAGGUGUUACAAUCGAUCAUGUUUGUGCAAUUGUCGAUUUCUCUAAUUGUUUAAACUUUACUUCAUAUAUUGAAGGUCUGUUACUAGGUUAUGGUACAUCCUACUAAUGAAUUGAGCAAUUUUAUUGUGAUGAGAUUUUCCUCUUUAUCUCUUUUGUUUUCAAUUCCAUUGUCUCUGACGUGAAUUAGACUUCCUGUGUGCACACC